GUUAGGAAUAUUGGACAAUGGGCGCAAGCCUGAUCCAGCCAUGCCGCGUGAGUGAUGAAGGCCUUCGGGUUGUAAAGCUCUUUAGCCGAUGAUUAUAAUGACUGUAGUCGGAAAAUAAGCCCCGGCUAACUUCGUGCCAGCAGCCGCGGUAAUACGAAGGGGCGAGCGUUAUUCGGAAUCACUGGGCGUAAAGCGUGCGUAGGCGGCUUUGCAAGUUGGGAGUGAAAGCCCAGGGCUCAACCCUGGAAUUGCUCUCAAAACUGCAAGGCUCGAAUUCGGGAGAGGAUAGCGGAAUUGUCAGUGUAGCAGUGAAAUGCGUAGAUAUUGACAGGAACACCAGUGGCGUAAGCGGCUAUCUGGACCGAUAUUGACGCUGAGGCACGAAAGCGUGGGGAUCAAACAGGAUUAGAUACCCGGGUAGUCC
rnacentral:rRNA from 1 species